AAAGUCGUAACAAGGUUUCCGUAGGUGAACCUGCGGAAGGAUCAUUACAAAUCCAUCCACGUCUCACACAACCCUGAGACCACGUUGAAAUGUUGUUGCUGUGUGCGUGCUGUCUGAUGUAUGUAUGUAUGUAUGUAUGUAUGUGUGUGCUUUGCGUUGCCUUGCGGCGGCGCUCUGCAUAUCAUACACUUCACACACACACACACACACACACACAUAUACACAAACUAGUAGUAUCUGUUGCUCAAAUGUAUCUUUCUUGAUUGUAUAAUAUGAUCAAGGCAAACAAAGUACAACUUAUAACAAUGGAUCUCUAGGCUCUU
rnacentral:misc_RNA from 1 species